ACCAAGUGUGCCAGCCUCCCAAACCGAAACCCCAAACUCCCAAGCUUCCCCGCUGAAGAACACGCAGCGUGUGGAAUUCGGUGUGUCACAUCUCAGCUUCACCCCUUCUAUCCAGAAGCCCCUCACGCACGUUUCACUCUUGCUGUGAUCAGAGAGAAGACGGCCCCCCUUCAAGCUCCCUCCCCCGCCCGGCUAUUCAGCGUCCCCAGGAGAGAGAAGUGAAGAACCAGGGGAAUCUCACGCUUCUGCCUCGUGUGUCCAGAUGAGCAUCAAAGUGAAAAACGUGAAAUCCAUGGAGAAUCUGCGUUCCCGGAGCCUUACUGUCCAUGUAGACCCACUCAUUCUCCCAAGCGGACGGAGUCCAGCCUUGCAGGCAAAGAAGUUAACCCAGGAAGAAAAGGUUCCAGGGAGUCUGCAGUGGAAUGACGAUGCUUUUGUUCUGCGUUUGGGGGUCUCUUGUGGCCUCGUGAUGUUGAAAAGGGAGGAGAGCUGCUGAAGCUGUGCGUCAUGGGCAGGCCUGGCUUAGGAAUCUGGAAAGCGCUGGUCAUUUUCAUCUGAUUGAAGCUAGCUCCAUGCAGACCUCACCAGGGAUACUCUGAAAGUGACCCUUCCCCAGUGGGCCCCAUGCCGGCCCUGGGCCUGGGAGAAGCCGCUCGUGCCUCCUCUCUGUCUGCGUAUUUGUGCUGCUGCAACGAAACACCUGACACUGGGUCGUUUGUAAAGAACAGAAAUUUAUUCCUCACAGUUCUGGGACUGGGAAGCCAAGAUCCAGGCACGGGCAGAUUUGGUGUUGGUGAGGGUUUGGUCUCUGCUUCAAGAUGGCACCUCUUGCUGAACCCCCCCG
rnacentral:lncRNA from 1 species